rnacentral:ncRNA from 22 species
UAGAAGCGAGGUUCGGACGGUGCCCCGGCGACGGGGUGAAAAGGGAAUGCGGUGAGGGCUCGCGCCUGAAACCGCAGCUGCCCCCGCAACUGUGAGCGGAGACGGGCCUGCCAUCGGCCACUGGAGCGAUCCGGGAAGGCGGCAGGACCGGACGACCCGCGAGCCAGGAGACCUGCCUUCCGAAGGGGACCACAU